rnacentral:lncRNA from 1 species
GGGACGGCGGCGAGCCCGGCCGGGCCGCCCUGAUGCGCGCCCCUCCUGCAGGGCCACGUGCUGAGGGAAGCACCGCGAGCCGCCUCACUCCGGGCGAGCCCUUAGCAAAGGAGCAACACGAGCGCCCGGCGGGAUCAGCAGCAGCAGCAGCAACAACAACAAGGGCACCGGGAGGGCUUCCCUCCUUCCUUCUCGGUGAUUUCCCAGGUGAGCAGCACCGGCUGCUGCGGGCAGCCCCCUCCUUCCUGCCCGCCGCUCAUUCCCUGUCACCGGCACCAGCUGACAGCCGCGCCGGGGCGGCGGGGCUCGGGUGCGGGGCGCCGCGGGGCUGGGGUCGGGCGCGGCAGGCAGGGCGCUCAGCGGAGCGGGGGGUCUGCGGCCGGCGCUCCGAGUGCCGCCCGGGGCUGCGGGGGUAAAUGGAGGGCAAGGCGGCGGGAGGGCGCCGGCGGGGGAAGCCGGCGGGGCUGUAAAACCGCCGGACCGGUAAGUCACCUCUGUGGCGGCUCCGGGCGCUGGCAGGCACCGGCACCGUCCCCGGGGCACCACGGCCGGCGGCCCUUCCCGCUGAGCCGGCCAGGAGGGGGACACGGCGGGGACAGGCCUUUGUCGGUGACACGCCGUUAGGAAAUGUGGGGAAUACCCGGCUUGUAAGUGUAUGCAGAUGAGGAGAAGGCUGCCUUGCGUAAUCCCCUCCUGCGGCGGGGAAUGGGCAUGGUCACCGCCGGGGAGAGGCGCCCGCGGGGGGGCCGGCCCGACGGGGCACUCACCGCGGCCUCCGGCGCCCCGGGAGCGGAUGGGGGGGCACCAAGGCGGGGGGGGCCCGGGGCCACCCGGCGCGGCGGAGGGCAGGGCGCUGGAGGUGGCGGAGGGAGGGGAUGUGCCGCGGCUGCCAGCGCGGCCCCGCGGGGGUGCCGGACACGGGGGAAGUGCGUGUGUGUGCGGGGACACCCGGCACCGCGCCGGGUGCGUGUGCGAGAGUGCGUGUGCGCGCUGCGCCGCGGUGACUGUUCCCUGAAGUGGGUGGGACGUUGGCCCGUUCCGGGAAUGUUCCAUGACGUGUAAACGCCACAGGAAGGGGGUUAACGAGGGGCUCGGCCGGGGCCGCCGCCGGGUCCCUCCCUUUCUCCCUCCCUCCGUCCCCCCGCCCGCCGGCGGGGCUGCCGCGGGGGCCGGCGGGGGCACGAUCCCUUAUGUAAUGCGGGGUACGUGUGCGGCCGGCGGGGAUUAUGUAAGCGGCACAUCCGCGCCUGUCGCAUAGGAUAUCGCAUAGGAUACACCACCGAGCUCCCGCCGGGAGGCGGGCAGGGGCGGCGAGCUGCCCCGCCGUGUCCCCGCCGUGUCCCCGCCGUGUCCCCGCCGUCGGGGUCAAGCGGCGCGGGGGAGGCGGGG